rnacentral:tRNA from 1 species
GCGGGCGUGGCGGAACUGGCAGACGCGCCGGGUUUAGGUCCCGGUCCUGAAAGGGGUGGAGGUUCGAGUCCUCUCGUCCGCA